UUUGAAGUGGGCAUUUAGAAGAUACACACAUACACAGACAGCAUAUAUAUCAUAUCCAGAGAGCACCAACAUCUCUGAGUAAAGGCACCAGUUGUCCACUGAGAUGAAGCGCAGUCAGACUCUCUAAUCCUCCCAACCUCGUACCUCCUAUGAACA